UACGUAGGGUGCGAGCGUUGUCCGGAAUUACUGGGCGUAAAGAGCUCGUAGGUGGUUUGUCGCGUUGUUCGUGAAAACUCACAGCUCAACUGUGGGCGUGCGGGCGAUACGGGCAGACUGGAGUACUGCAGGGGAGACUGGAAUUCCUGGUGUAGCGGUGGAAUGCGCAGAUAUCAGGAGGAACACCGGUGGCGAAGGCGGGUCUCUGGGCAUUACCUGACGCUGAGGAGCGAAAGCAUGGGGAGCGAACAGG
rnacentral:rRNA from 1 species